GCCGCCGAUCCCAGCUCUUGCUGCCGUGCGAACGCCCUGGCCGCAGUUGCAGUGCCACCCGCGGCCUGUGCCGCGGCGCUUAACGGGGUCAGCGAAGUUCUCUGUUACGACUUGUUAGCUAUUGUCAGAUGCCCAACUGUACAAGGAUGUGAGGUUCUAACUAAUUCAGAUGGCAGUACUGGAAUUGUUGCGGAGAAACAAGAAGAGACUUUCUGCAUGAAAGAACAAACAUUGCCUCAGUGGAAGAAAAAGGGAACAGAAGCAAACUGAAAAUGUUUGUACUUUCUAAAGGAAGAAAAAGUCAAGAUGUUGUCUUUCAAGGAUGACUGUUCUUCGGGUACAUUGGUUGGGAUGCAAUCAGCAAUGAAUUUUAGUCCCUAAAGUGCCUCAGCGGGUGAAGAUGUGAUUGUGGAAUAAAGAGAGCCAUGGAAAUUCAAAAUGAUGAACAGCUCAACAAAAACUUACAAUCUACUGGCAUUAUGAAGAAUAUCAGAAUAUUAUUAAUUGUGUUGAAAGUCCUCUGCACAUUCCAUCUGAAUCUGCUGAGAAGUCUGACCACUCAAAACCUGUAUUUUCAAAGAAUUUGCUGAAAGAUGAAACAAAAAAAAGGGAAAAGGUCCAUCUCUAAUGACAAAAGCAUUUGUUUGCAAGAAUUUCUCACAAAUGGCACAAGAAUUUCCUGUUAAUGUCUUUGGGUCAGAUCCUUACAUGAUACACAUUAGAUUUUAUCUCUAUAUAACUCAGUCUUUCUCUUUUAUUGAUAUUUCAGAGAUUCUCUUUGAAGUGCCUCCAUUUGCACAAAAAAUGGACUGAGGCUAUAGCCAUACCAAAGGAUAUAGGCUUGGAUCUUGAACUGGUGGAAGUCAGUGUAUCUCCAUGAUUUAAACGGUUUAUAUAGGCAUUAGCUGGCAUGAAACACAUAUGAAUUUCAGCAAGGACAAAGGAAGAGCUCAGCAUUCCUGUGCAAGGACUCCCAGACAGAGAUUUCUCAUUCUCACCUGUUUCUUUUUUUAAAACAGUCCUCAAAAUCCAUUUGGUGACAUUCAGCAAGUACUGGAUGACAAGCAUUCUAUCAGAAAAGCCUCAGCAAGCCUGAAAUUUACUGAGUAGGUAUGGAGGGCUGUGAGGAAGAGCCCUUGCCAGGGCAUAAAGAUGGGAAGCAUAAGCGGGAAAAACUGUUCUUUACUCACAUGCUGACUUUUGACUAUGGAUUUCAUACUCAAAGGUCUCCUGAGCAGAAGUGCAACAUAAAUGAAAAAAUCCCAAACUACUGGUAGAAAUUUUAUAUGUCCCUUAGUUGUUCUUCAGAAGGAUCUCUGUACAAUGAGCAUGGAUCAGACCUUACUAUGGGAGAUAUAUGCCUUAUGUGAUAAGCCAGGCACUCCCAUGGACCUGCAGGUCUAGGCCCUGUCCUCCCCACCCCCCCUCCCCUCCACACUCACGGUAAGUUGGUUCUGACCCAUAUCAAUAAUUCAGUGAGAUUUGGAUCCAGUGUCACAACUGUGUUUCAGCUUAAUACUUUUCAGACAGAGCAAAGAAGUAAAUAGACACCACAGCCCCAGUUGUAUCAUGCACAACUCUAAAAUAAGCAGAUCUUUCUUCGAUAAAUCACUUAAAUUAUUUGAAUUUUGGCCAUGAAACUGAGUCUUUGUGGAAGAAAUUACUUUUUCUUUGCAGUGUGGAGACAGAAUUUCCUAGAACAUGGGCAGGGCAAGAGCUAAAAUCCCUGAUGAUGUUAUUAAGGACAUUGUUAGGAAAUAUAAUUCUUUAUAGUUCUUUGGCAGAAGGAUUUUCUUGCCACAGAGAUUGUACUAUUUCAACAGCUAUUUUAAUAAAAGCACAUCCAAAUGUA